UACAGGAAGGAUUAGCGUUAUUCUUAAUAACUGGGCGUAAAGGGUGCGCAGGUGAUAUUGAAAAUAAACAAAAAGCAGAGCUUAACUCUGAUAAACAUUUUAUUUUGAAUUAUAUUUGAGUUAAACAAAGGAUAAUAGUAUUUCUAGUGUAGUGAUAGAAUACUUAGAGAUUAGAAGGAACAUCAAAGGCGAAGGCAAUUAUCUAGGUUUAAACUGACACUCAGGCACGAAAGCAUAGGGAGCAAACAGGAUUAGAAACCCUUGUAGU
rnacentral:rRNA from 1 species